AUCCUUAUGCAAGGGAAUUACGCAUAUCAGUGAGGAUUCGUCCGAGAUUGUGUUUUUGCUGGUUGAAAACUUUAACCACGACCGCUCCUGUUUGUCAAUAGACCUUUUGGUCUGACUCUUAGGGAAUUUUUGGAAACUUUUCUUUGAU
rnacentral:snRNA from 1 species